rnacentral:lncRNA from 1 species
CCCACUGCCAGCUGGCACGGAGAUGUGCAGGGACCGAGGAGGCCUCCCAGCCUCUGCUGGAGAGAAAAGUCAGGAGGGAGGCGGGGCCAGACCUCAGAAACAAAGGGGUUGCCAUGGUUACUUCAGAAGACGGGUUCUCCAGCGGGCAAGGGAUGGUGUGGAAUGCAGGCCCCCAAGCCAGGACAAGGACCAGACUAGUUGCUACGGAGACGCUCUGAAGCUUCCCUUUGGACCUUGCCAGAGUCCAGCACAGGACAGAAACCCACCACCUUCCCUGCCAAGUCUCUAAGACUGACCACCAGUGCUGGCUGCCAUCCUCAGUGUCACCUCUUGGCCCAAGAUGGCUGCUGGCACGCCAAUCAUAUUCGACCAGGAGGAAGGAAGAAAGGAAACAGGAAAGGCAGACGCGCUGGCCCACAGGCUGACCCCACCUCUAGCCCUCAGCAGCAUGUGACUGGAAACUGGGACAUCACCGCAUCACUUUGGGAUAAUCAGUCAGGCUGUGGGCUUGAGCCCUGCAUCUGCUCUUGAGGCUGUGAGCUGUGGGAUGUCAGUCUGGAGGUACCAUGCCAAGCGGAGUGGCUGCCUGAGAGGAGAGCAGGGCUGGGAGACACAGGCUCUGACGAGAGCAGUCGGGGUCCUGGAUCCAGCCAAGCCUGAAGGAGAUACACUGCCAGCAGACUGUCAGAUCCAUGCCCUGCUGAGCCAAGGUUUCCAUGCCCACUUCUCCACGUGUGGGGAGGACAGCCACCUGUCAGGACAGGCCUCUGGACUCUUCCUCUCUCCACCAGGCCAUCACAGGCUGGGACCCCCGCUUCUGGAUGGCGCACAGAUGGGAAAAUUGAGCCCAGGGACGGGAGAGCCUCCAGUGACCUCAUUACUUGUCACAUGGGCGUUUCCAGCUCUGCAUGAAUCAGCUGAGCAAAUUUAGAAAAUGCGAGAGGAUUAUGCAAUGCCAAGAAGAGGGCAGGCAAACUAGCCCAAGUGUGGAGUCCGCUGCCCGCAGCCUGGCCAGCCCAGCCUUCAACCCCCUGGGAUCUGUGGAAUGGGAUCACCAGGCCCAGUUCAUCCUGCAGCCACCCAACCUGGUCACCGCGGGAAAGUCCCAGCAGGGAGCAGGAACCCCAAAGGGAGGAGGAGGCUGGGAGACGGUCAGCCGAGAUGCUGCGUUCAGGCUCCAACGUGCUGUGAUGGUGGCGCUGCUGGGCAGAUGGUGAAGAACAGGGACUCGUCCCACUGGGGGACCUCCACAGGCAGGUGGAUGGCAGCCAGCAAUGGGCCAGCUGCAGCCAGGAGUCCAGACAAAGGCACGGCUCAGGCCCCUGCCCCGCAGCCAAGGCUGAGGGCAGGGAGGGGUCGAGGCCGCGGCAGGGAGCUCCAGCCAGGGCACAGCUGCAGCUCUGGGGGAGGGCUGGGCUGGGCAGAGCUGGGCACCAGCCCCUCCGCCACACACUGGGCCCGUGCUCUCCCUCCUUGCCCCCCGCCACAAGCCCCAGGGCUGGGUCCUCGGUCAGCACGCCGUCUGCCCAUAUCUGGCCAGGCCCAACGACGGCCAGGGUUCUGACAGUUGCUGUCCAGGGUCUGCUUGGGGUGAGCCCUGGUCCGAAGGCCCCGGAGCAGCACUGGCUGGGGGUCACGGAGUGUGCAGGCCCCGCUGACAUGUGGCACUGCUGGGUCACAGCACGGGAGGCCCGCCAAGCACCCUUGGAUUCGGCUUCAGAACCCUCUAGCCACCCUGAGAUCCCCCACCAGCCCGCCCCCAGCAUUCUGGGGAAGAUCCAGCAAAGAAAGUCCCCCUUUCUCCCCCCUUUUCUGUUUUCUCUCUUGCUGAUUCGUUUUUUUCACAUGGAGAGAACCUGCACAGAUUCAUUUCAGCAAAUACGUAUUGGCCGAUCCUGGGAGCUCUACAAACGCUCUGUGCUCUCUCCAGCCUCUGAGCCUUUGCACAUGCUGUUCCCUGCCCUGAGCCUCUCGCCUCCCCUUGCAUGGAGACCAAGGCCCCAGGGGGAGUCUCCCAGCAAGGACGAGGCAGGAGGGGCUGACGCCCAGAGGCCACUGCCCAGGCCGUGGGAUGGGGCAGCCCUGCCCCACGUAGGCUGCGCUGGCUCCAGGCGAGCAGGGUGCAGGCUAGGCAGGCUGCGGGCCUCCUUGUUACAGGCCGGCCCUGGGGUGGCCUCCAGAGCCUCUUGCCCAGGCUCUCCAUGGUCUGUGGGUCUGAAGUGGGGACAGUCGCCCCCUCACUCCCUCGUGCUCUUGCUCGCUCCACUCAACCUCACUUCUCACUCUGCGCCCUGUGCUCCCAGCACCAGGCAGUGGGACACACAGAUGCCCAAGGAGAAGGCCAUCUCUACAGUCCCAGCUGCUCCCGACUGACCCCCACCCACAGGCUUCCUCUCAGGGGUCAUCCCGCCAAGCUCUCUGUGCCCAGGCCCGCUGUCCCCCCAGCGUGCCUGGGCUCCUUGGGCACUGUCCACAAAGCACUGUUGGGGGAAGGGACAGAGGACCCCAUGGGACCCCCAGGGGCAGCUGCAGGUGAUGACUGUGGCUUUGCCUGCCCGCUACUCUUGCCCCUCCAUUCACCUCUACCCUCCACGGGGUGGGGUCUGAAUGAUGUAGGCCCUCGCUGCUGCAAGCUCAGGCACUGCUGUCGGUGUCAGGCCCAAUGGGGUUAGUUCUGGGGUUUGAUGGCAGCCCCUCUUCCUCCUAGGGAGUAGGGGGGUAGAUGAGAGCAUAGGAUAGCAGCCUAGAGCUGCAGGGAGAGAUAUUAGGGAGACAUUCCCUGCUGGGAAUGAGGUGGACGCGAGGAAAAGACAGAUGGAAAGAAGUAGCCGUUCUUUGAGCUCCUGGAUGCAGCUGUGUCUGAAACCCACCCCCUGGACUUUUCAGCCAUGAG